rnacentral:lncRNA from 1 species
AAUAUCAGUAAACCUAGUGAACAUGCUAGUGAUUGUCUCAUUAGAAUCCAUUUUAAAUAGUUCAUACUUAUGAACCAAUAUAUUAAUCUUGGAUUCUUUAACUUGAUUUGUGCCCUCAUGGGUCACUUCUAGUCUAUCCCAGAUCUCUUUUGCAGAAUUGCAAGUAGAGACCCUAUUGAAUUCAUUUCGGUCUAAGGCACAAUAAAACACAUUCAUAGCUUUAGAGUUUAAUUGUGCCUUCCUCAUGUCAUGUUCAUCCCAAUCCUUUUCUAAUUUGGGUACCUUGACACC